GACGAACGCUGGCGGCGUGCUUAACACAUGCAAGUCGAACGGAGUGGCGAACGGGUGAGUAACACGUGGGUGACCUGCCCUGCACUUCGGGAUAAGCCUGGGAAACUGGGUCUAAUACUGCCUAGUUGGGGAUGGGCUCGCGGCCUAUCAGCUUGUUGGGGGGGUGAUGGCCUACAAAGGCGGUGACGGGUAGCCGGCCUGAGAGGGUGGUCGGCCAGAUGGGGAUUGAGAUACGGCCCAGACUCCUACGGGAGGCAGCAGGGGGGGAUAGUGCACAAUGGGCGCAAGCCCGAUGCAGCGACGCCGCGUGAGGGAUGAAGGCUUGCGGGUUGUAAACCUCUUUCGGUACAGAACGGGUAUGUGCAGAAGAAGCGCCGGCUAACUACGUGCCAGCAGCCGCGGUAAUAC
rnacentral:rRNA from 1 species